GAUGAAGAACGUAGCGAAAUGCGAUAAGUAAUGUGAAUUGCAGAAUUCAGUGAAUCAUCGAAUCUUUGAACGCACAUUGCGCCCGCUGGUAUUCCGGCGGGCAUGCCUGUUCGAGCGUCAUUUCAACCCUCAAGCCCCCGGGUUUGGUGUUGGGGAUCGGCUCUGCCCUUCUGGGCGGUGCCGCCCCCGAAAUACAUUGGCGGUCUCGCUGCAGCCUCCAUUGCGUAGUAGCUAACACCUCGCAACUGGAACGCGGCGCGGCCAUGCCGUAAAACCCCAUCUUCUGAAUGUUGACCUCGGAUCAGGUAGGAAUACCCGCUGAACUUAAGCAUAUCAAUAAGCGGAGGA
rnacentral:misc_RNA from 1 species